rnacentral:lncRNA from 1 species
CCAUUUAUAUAUAAUAGUGUUUUUUAUUCCAGCCAGCAGUCUAAUAUGUUUUAUCCGUGACAACGCAUGUGUAUUCAACUAGUGUUAAUAGAUUCCCCAUUUAGCAAAUGUAGGUUCACCACCAGACUCCUACAAUACAAAUGCAUCCAGUGCUAGCAAUUUCAAAAAAUACUAUUCUUGUCAUAGAGUAUCUCAUUGUUGGCAACCAACACGCGCCUCAGGAAGUUCGCCAAGUGUCGGUCCUCGCCUCCUUUUUUUUCCGGACCUUGCGGAAAACUGUCACCCGGUUUGCAGGAUGCAUCAGUUAUUCUUUUGUCCUUCUUUUUCUGUUGAGCCCUCAUUUUCAUAAGAGAAACGAACACCCAACAUUAGUGACUCGUAUUUGCUAAUGUACUCCAGAUUUUCUACAAGAAAAGCACCUAAUUUCAGUAAGCCAGUUGCCCAGUUUAGGUUAUAGUUGAAUAACCAGCACAACUCUACGCAAGGAUCUCAUGUUGGAACCAAGUUAAAUUCGAUAAGACGGCAGAUCGAGAAUCUAGGUGUUGAGGGCCUUACUCUCUCGCAGCCACUGCUGCGUCCUGCAAAUGGCAGUCUGAAUCCCCAUGGUUGAUGGAUCUGCUGCUCCUGCUUCUGCCAGGGCUCUGAAGGAAGCCGUAGGGGCCAUCGAAGGCGGUCGAGCGGGCGCGAGAGCAGAGGAGGAGACCCCGCUGGCAGAGCGCGGCAAGGAGCCAAUCCGAGGCGCCCUAGAUUUGUUUCUCCUCUGAACUCUGGAUCUCCCUGGACCUUUUUGCGUCGCUAGUUCAGAAACAGGUCCGGAUCGGCGCCCCGUUCCUAAUUUGGUGGUGGUUUCUUCCCCAGUGCACCUCUCCGGCCAUGGCGCCACACCGCCGCCGCAGAAGAACGGGGGGUCGUCAUGCGACAGGAAGAGGAAGGUCACAAAUAUGAAGGAAAAAUAACUUUCAACUAUUUAGGCCCAAUUUUCGACCAAAAUAAAAAAAAAGUAAUAACACCCGCGAACUUGAGACGUGCGGACAUUUUCGUUAAAAAACUUGAAAAAUGAGGUUAGGUGGGUCAAAACUUGUAUUGUGAAUUCACUUUUGAUUAGAUGCGCUUCCGGACCGUCAUGUGUCUGGCUAGAGUGGCAAAGUCGUGCGCGGAGGGCUUGGUUUUCAAAAAAAAACUUGUUUCUCAUCCCGACGCGGCGAGGGAGGAGGCCAACGGCAUGGUCAACAUUGGUGGGCCUGGGUCGAGCCGACUGGCUGCUCACGGUGGUGGUGGUCUCGGCCGCAUAACGGUACGUCGCCGGCAUAGAGUGGGCGACGGUGACCGGAGAAGUUUACUGGGCGCCACCGUGGUCGUCUAUGAAGGUUAGUGCUUUGAAUCCAGUCUUGUCUUUGUCAAGUUGGUUCAAGUGCACCGAUGAUGACCAGCGCCAUGAUUGGAAAGAAGGAGAAGAUUUCGGUAUAUGAAGAGGUAUGGGCUGGAAUGUAAACUAGGAAGAAAAUAGGGAAAUUUUUGCAAAAUUUCAUUCGUCUUAUAUUGCUUGGGGAUGAGAAAGAAACUGUAUUUGGAUUGAAGGGACUAAAAUAAAAAAAAAAUGCAAACUGUCUUCCUGAUCACAAAAAUCCUGGAGCCCUGGAUGGGUCUUUGGGAAUUGUAUGGGGUUCCGUUCCUGUUCCUCUCCAGGAGUUUGCACCGUAACUCUAAACUUGUUUCAUUGAUGCUUGUUUUCUUCGAGAAAACGCGGAAGUUUCGCGUCUCAAUGCAUGUAUAUUAUUAAAAAGUGUUAUGUACAAGUCCGAGAGGAUAGUGUCCUGAGAUUACAAAGAUACACGACUUCCAUCGGGAAGAACGCUCGAAGCCCAACCGUCCCUGCUCGGGUCCAAAGCCUAGCAUCAACCU